AGAUAAAUUACAUAAAUUAAUAAAAUCCAACCAAAUAUUUCAUUUCAUCUAAGAUGACCUCUCACUCAAAAUCAAAAUAAAAAACAUUUCAGAAAAAAGGUGGAAAAAUAGUUAAAAAUUAACUAAAUUCACUCUUAUAAAUUUUUGCUCUGAUUUAGGUAGAUCAAUAUUUUAGGAACAUUUUGAUACAAGUUGGAACAUAUGUAGUGGAAUUUUGAGAGAAAGAAAUCAAAGAUUGGAGAUAGCGGUUUAGAAAAGCCCCUAAAAAUUCCACGCUAGAUCGCUUGAAAAUGCAUUUUGUUCCAAAAUAGAUGUUUUAGAGGAAUAAAAACAGAUUAUUUUCGAACAAAUUUCAAAGACUUAGUUGUAAUAAUCAAUGAGAAAAUCAAUAGAAAAGCGGAUUGGGUUUAAAAAAAGGACUCAGUUUCUAUGCGGUCAAGCCCGCAUAUGUAGAAAUAUGUGCCUCUUAAUACAUCUAUUUUUGAGAUGGAUUUUUGGACUUAAUUUUUAAGGACAUGUAAUCUCUAACAUGAACAUGAAGAUCAUGAAUAUAAAUAAAUAAAUAAAUUUUAAGAAAUAAAAAUAAUAAUUCUAGGUAAAAAAACAUUAAGAAUGUUAGUUUCCAUUAUUUUUAGAUGGAAAACGUACUUGCAUCCAUCUUUAAAAUGGAUGCUUUACACUUUUUGGACCACAUGUGCAGUCAUGCAAUCUAGCCCGCAUAAAACGAUUUUCCUUCAAAAAAAUGGUGAAAAGGAAAAUUUGAUUUUUAACCUUAAAGUAUAAUAAAUUUUAAAA
rnacentral:lncRNA from 1 species